CCUACGGGAGGCAGCAGUGGGGAAUAUUGGACAAUGGGGGAAACCCUGAUCCAGCGACGCCGCGUGAGUGAAGAAGUAUUUCGGUACGUAAAGCUCUAUCAGCAGGAAAGAAAAUGACGGUACCUGACUAAGAAGCCCCGGCUAACUACGUGCCAGCAGCCGCGGUAAUACGUAGGCGGCAAGCGUUAUCCGGAUUUACUGGGUGUAAAGGGAGCGUAGACGGCAGCGCAAGUCUGGAGUGAAAUGCCGGGGCUCAACCCCGGAACUGCUCUGGAAACUGUGAAGCUGGAGUGCAGGAGAGGUAAGCGGAAUGCAUGGUGUAGCGGUGAAAUGCGUAGAUAUCAGGCGGAACACCGGCGGCGAAGGCGGCUUACUGGACUGUAACUGACGUUGAGGCUCGAAGGCGUGGGGAGCAAACAGGAUUAGAUACCCUUGUAGUC
rnacentral:rRNA from 1 species